UCUCCGUUGGUGAACCAGCGGAGGGAUCAUUACAGAGUUGCAAAACUCCCAACCAUUGUGAACCUACCUCACCGUUGCUUCGGCGGGUGGCCCUCGCCAGGGCCGCGCCGGCCUCCGUGCCGGCAACCCGUCAGAGGUCUUAAACCCUGAAUUCUAGUGUAUCUCUGAGGAUGAAAAAAAACCAAUUAAAACUUUCAACAACGGAUCUCUUGGCUCUG
rnacentral:misc_RNA from 1 species